rnacentral:rRNA from 1 species
CCUACGGGAGACAGCAGUGAGGAAUAUUGGUCAAUGGGCGAGAGCCUGAACCAGCCAAGUCGCGUGAGGGAGUACUGCCCUACGUGUUGUAAACCUCUUUUGUCGGGGAGCAAAAGCCGGACGUGUCCGGCUGUGGGAGGACCCUAAGGAAAAGGAUCGGCAAACUCCCGUCCCGCCGUCGCGGUUAUACGGAGGAUGCGGGCGUUAUCCGGAUUUUGUGGGUUUAAAGGGUGCGCAGGCGGGUUUUUUAGUCAGCGGUAAAAUCGUGGGGCUCAACCCCCUCCAGCCGUUGAAACUGGGGGGCUAGAGUGUGAGAGAGGUACGCGGAAUGCGUGGUGUAGCGGUGAAAUGCAUAGAUAUCACGCAGAACCCCGAUUGCGAAGGCAGCAUACCGGUGCACCACUGACGUUGAGGCACGAAAGCGUGGGUAUCGAACAGGAUUAGAUACCCUUGUAGUC